GGGCGAUUAGCUCAGUUGGUAGAGCAGCUGACUCUUAAUCAGCGGGUCGCAGGUUCGAGUCCUGCAUCGCUCA
rnacentral:tRNA from 1 species